GUUUUGAUAAAUCUCCCCCUAUAGACCUUGGCGUCCCUAAGAAUUAAUUGAGUCAUAAACGUCCCUAAGAGUUGAGUCAUAAUCAGAUAUCAGAAGAAGAGAUCUCAAGGUAGUUAUUAUUUCAUGGAUAGAUGGGUCUAUGGAAAGAAGCUAAUACCUCAGAAUACAUUUCUUGGCCACCAAAUAGCACAAAAUGAAGAAUUUUCACCCCAAUUUCCUCAGGAGAACAUCAGUAUCCGCAGAGGUAGAAAAGGAGCACAGCAAAGGUUCCAGUGUGUUCGGGCCCAUGCACAUUAGAAAAUAUCAACCUGGAAUUAAACCAGGGUGGACACUGGGGUGCUGCCUAAAUCAGAAGGCGUGAGGACCACUUGGACAUGCACCAUUUCCAACUGCGGAAACUCUGCAGUGUGCAGAGAAACUCUACAGUGCAGCAGAAUAAGAAUGUUAUAAUUAACCAAGAUGAAGAAUUCAGAAAAUUUUGAAGCCCAUUUAACUGAAGAACUGUGGGGUAAUUUAUAUCUGCAGUGGUGACCCGCAGACCCCUGUAAUUGGCAGAAACCAGAUAAGAGCAGCAAGGACUGGGAGCUUUUGGAACGGCAGUGGAUCAGUGCAGACGAGUAUGUUUUUGUUUUUUUACAGCAUGGGUAUAUGAUCUUAUGUUAAAAAAAGAGCCUUGGUAUUUAAAUAAAUUAAAAAAAAUAGAUAAAACUAGAGAAUGAAAACAAAAAGAACUCAAAUUUCGGACCAAAUAACCCAGCAUUAAUUAAAAAAAAUCAAUCCGUAGCGCUAAAAAAGAGUCUCAGCCUAAGUCUCUCUAUGGUAACAGU